rnacentral:rRNA from 1 species
UUGGGGGGGCAAGUCUGGUGCCAGCAGCCGCGGUAAUUCCAGCUCCAAUAGCGUAUAUUAAAGUUGUUGCAGUUAAAAAGCUCGUAGUUGAAUUUCGAGAUCGGCUUACUGGUCGUGCUUUUGUACGUACUGGUAUAAUCGGUUUCUCCUUUCUGACGAACUUUAAUGCCAUUAAUUUGGUGUUUUAGGGAAUCAGGACUGUUACUUUGAAAAAAUUAGAGUGUUUAAAGCAGGCUCACGCUUGAAUACAUUAGCAUGGAAUAACGGAAUAGGACGUUUGAUUCUAUUUUGUUGGUUUCUAGGAUCGACGUAAUGAUUAAUAGGGAUAGUUGGGGGCAUUAGUAUUCAAUUGUCAGAGGUGAAAUUCUUGGAUUUAUUGAAGACUAACUACUGCGAAAGCAUUUGCCAAGGAUGUUUUCAUUAAUCAAGAACGAAAGUUAGGGGAUCGAAGACGAUCAGAUACCGUCGUAGUCUUAACCAUAAACUAUGCCGACUAGGGAUCGGAUGAUGUUAA